CUUGCUCGCUCGGUCUAAGAAUCAAUCCAAACCAAAACCAACGCCUAACCCCUAAACCCGCAGCCGCCGGCCGGCCCGCACCGCCCUCCACCGGCGACCCCUACACGGCGGCUCCGCUCGACGCCCCCGGCUACUCAGGAACGCUCUCUUCUUCCUCGUCGACCAUGUAGCUUCUUCCCCGUCCUCAACGGCUCAACCUCGCCGCCUCCGUCAGGAAAAAUCCCCCGACUGCCGCCCGCGUCGCCACCGGCCAGCCCUUCCGGUGCCUUCUUCUCGUCAACCGUGUAGCAACAAGAUCUAAUGGCGCUAGCUCACCGCCGUCUCGUCGUCUAGUAGGAGUAAAAUUGCAGCAGCCUCCGGUCCGGUUCGGGCAUCAGCAUUCGCAAGGGAACCCAGCCGCCCUCCACCGGCGAUAUCGGCUUUGUUCCUCCAUCGUCAGUAAG